GGAUACCCUGAAAAUAAAAAUAUACUUAGAAUAUCUGCUACAUUAAGAUUAUACCUAUUUAUAAAGUGAAAAAUUAAUGAAAUUAGAAAGAUAAGUGCGAAGAAAAGACGGUCACAGGAAGGAUAUUCGGAGUGGAUAUCAGAAAAGUGUAAGUGCACUUCCUGUGAAAACGACAAAGACCCCGCCGGAUGUGUCAAUUUAGCGCCAUCUUGUAACUUGGAGAUGAGGCUCGGAAAGGAUUUUGAUAGAUGAAACUUGACCUCGAUGUCUCGAGAUGUUUCAUCUCAGAUAAACGCGACAAAUGAGAUAUUUUUAAAAUAACCACAAUAAGUUAAAGACACUUUAAAAGUUUCAUAAAAAAAUGUCAUCACUGGUAAUAAAAGAUUUUCUUAAUUAAUCCUUAGUUCGAUAGUUUUCGUAGACGGACAUUUUAUGCUUACUAAUUGCAGUUCAAACCUUAGGGUAGUUAAUUAUGUGUUUAACAUUAUUUUAUAAAAUAUUGAGUGUAAUAAAAAUUUAAUAGUAAACAAAAAA